AUUGAACGCUGGCGGCAGGCCUAACACAUGCAAGUCGAACGAGUGGCGGACGGGUGAGUAAUGUCUGGGAAACUGCCCGAUGGAGGGGGAUAACUACUGGAAACGGUAGCUAAUACCGCAUACCAUCGGAUGUGCCCAGAUGGGAUUAGCUAGUAGGUGGGGUAACGGCUCACCUAGGCGACGAUCCCUAGCUGGACUGGGAGGAUGACCAGCCACACUGGAACUGAGACACUGUCCAGACUCCUACGGGAGGCAGCAGUGGGGAAUAUUGCACAAGGGGCGCAAGCCUUAUGCAGUCAUGCCGCGUGUAUGAAGAAGGCCUUCGGGUUGUAAAGUACUUUCAGCGAGGAGGCGUUACUCGCAGAAGAAGCACCGGCUAACUCCGUGCCAGCCGCCGCGGUAAUAC
rnacentral:rRNA from 1 species